rnacentral:rRNA from 1 species
CGGGGUGAGUAAUGUCUGGGAAACUGCCUGAUGGAGGGGGAUAACUGCUGGAAACGGUAGCUAAUACCGCAUAACGUCGCAAGACCAAAGAGGGGGACCUCCGGGCCUCUUGCCAUCGGAUGUGCCCAGAUGGGAUUAGCUAGUAGGUGGGGUAACGGCUCACCUAGGCGACGAUCCCUAGCUGGUCUGAGAGGAUGACCAGCCACACUGGAACUGAGACACGGUCCAG